rnacentral:lncRNA from 1 species
AAAACCAUGGCCCAUCAUUGGCAAUUUGAACCUACUUGGUCCUAUUCCACAUCAAUCUUUUGACUUGCUUUCCAAAAAAUAUGGAGAGUUGAUGCUGCUGAAAUUUGGCUCCAAGCCAGUUCUUGUUGCUUCAUCUGCUGAAAUGGCAAAACAGUUGUUAAAAAUACAUGAUGCCAAUUUCGCCUCUCGUCCUAUGCUAGCCGGUGGGAAGUAUACAAGCUAUAGAAUUCUCAUUAGUUAAUUUUCUUUUGUUUAAAAAUCCAUGAUGCCAAUUUCGCCUCUCGUCCUAUGCUAGCCGGUGGGAAGUAUACAAGCUAUAAUUAUUGUGACAUGACAUGGGCACCCUAUGGUCCCUAUUGGCGCCAAGCACGACGAAUUUACCUCAACGAGAUAUUUACUCCAA